rnacentral:rRNA from 1 species
GGCCCGCUGUAUUGGUAAAUCCGUACAGCUUUGUGGGUGAGGCGUGAUGCGUACCCGUUUGUGGGGAUGUUGGUGAUCCUAUGCUGUCGAGAAAAGCCUCUAGUGAGUGCAUGUAUGGCCCGUACCGUAAACCGACACAGGUGGUCAGGUAGAGAAUACUAAGGCGAUCGGGUGAACUGUGGUUAAGGAAUUCGGCAAAAUGCCCCCGUAACUUCGGGAGAAGGGGGGCCACUGCUGGUGAACGACGUGUUGAGCUGGUGGUGGUCGCAGAGAGUAGAGGGAAGCGACUGUUUACUAAAAACACAGGUCCGUGCGAAGACGGGUAAGUCGAUGUAUACGGACUGACGCCUGCCCGGUGCUGGAAGGUUAAGAGGACCCGUUAGGUCACGUUGUGGUCGAAGCGGAGAAUUUAAGCCCCAGUAAACGGCGGUGGUAACUAUAACCAUCCUAAGGUAGCGAAAUUCCUUGUCGGGUAAGUUCCGACCUGCACGAAUGGCGUAACGACUUCUCUGCUGUCUCAACCACAGGCCCGGCGAAAUUGCAGUACGAGUAAAGAUGCUCGUUACGCGCGGCAGGACGAAAAGACCCCGGGACCUUCACUAUAGCUUGGUAUUGGUGUUCGGUUCGGUUUGUGUAGGAUAGGUGGGAGACUGUGAAGUGCUCACGCUAGUGGGUGUGGAGUCGUUGUUGAAAUACCACUCUGAUCGUAUUGAAUAUCUUAACCUCGGCCCAUGAUCUGGGUUAGGGACAGUGCCUGGUGGGUAGUUUAACUGGGGCGGUUGCCUCCUAAAGUGUAACGGAGGCGCCCAAAGGUUCCCUCAGCCUGGUUGGUAAUCAGGUGUUGAGUGUAAGUGCACAAGGGAGCUUGACUGUGAGACUGACAGGUCGAGCAGGGACGAAAGUCGGGACUAGUGAUCCGGCACCUACUUGUGGAAGUGGUGUCGCUCAACGGAUAAAAGGUACCCCGGGGAUAACAGGCUGAUCUUCCCCAAGAGUCCAUAUCGACGGGAUGGUUUGGCACCUCGAUGUCGGCUCGUCGCAUCCUGGGGCUGGAGUCGGUCCCAAGGGUUGGGCUGUUCGCCCAUUAAAGCGGCACGCGAGCUGGGUUUAGAACGUCGUGAGACAGUUCGGUCUCUAUCCGCCGCGCGCGUUGAAACUUGAGAAAGGCUGACCCUAGUACGAGAGGACCGGGUUGGACAUACCUCUGGUGCGCCAGUUGUCACGCCCGUGGCAUGGCUGGUUGGCUACGUAUGGGAGGGAUAACCGCUGAAAGCAUCUAAGCGGGAAGCCUGUUUCGAGAUGAGGUUUCUUUUGAGGUUCCCUAGAGAUGAUGGGGUUGAUAGGCCAGAUCUGGAAGCACUGUGAGGUGUGGAGGUGACUGGUACUAAUUG